GCUUUACAAAACUGAAUUAAAUUAGGGCACAAUUUUAUGUAAUCACGCUUCCUCUUCGCGCUACCGAAAUCCUCGUUGCCGUCGCCGUCGCCGUCGCCGCUCCAGCUCCGUCGCCGCUCCAGCCCGUCGCCGUCGUCGCCGCUCCAGCUCCGUCGCCGUCGCCGUCGUUGCCGCUCCAGCUCCGUCGCCGUCGCCGUCGUCGCCGCUCCAGCUCCGUCGCCGUCGCCGUCGUCGCCGCUCCAGGACAGCAUCACUGAUGCCGUGUAAGUUUAAUUCGAUGAGGAGAUGAAGUGUGUGUGUGUGUGUGUGUGUUCCCUCUUCCUCUUCGCCGCUACCUAAGUCCUCUCCGCCGUUGCCGUCGCCACUCCAGCCCGUCGUCGCCGCUCCAGGACAACAUCACCGAUGCCUUGACAACAUCACAGCUUCAAUCAACUACUACCAAUUAUUCACCGCCACUUAGGAGCAAGAUUAGAGGUAGUUUAUUCAUCUUUUUUGCUGCAUGGCAUCAGAGAUUGGUGAUUGAAUCUUUCACCUCAGAGAUCUGUAAGUCACUUGUUUCUCUCCCUUUUCCAAGAGUAGAUUUAUUUUCCAUGAUAUAUUGUUUCUAUUCACAUAGUUGAUUGCGGGAUUUGGUGGAUUUGCAACUGCUUUUGAUGUUAUGGCAGAUUCUAAUGUGUUGUGUGAUGCAAUAAGUGGUAGUCCAUAUAGAAGAAAAACACUAAUUGAGAAUAAAAGCAAGUAAGAUUUGCAAAAUCAGUACAAACAUUCUGAAAUUAGCUUCGGCAGUGAAAAAAUGGAGUGUGAGAAAAAAAGAAACUAAUGUCAUGACAUUUGUGUGAGUUUAAUAUAAAAUUAAUAAAAAUAUAUUUAUGAAAAUUGAGGUUCAUUUUCAUACUCUAUUUUGUAAAUGAAAUGUACAUGUGCAGUUUCACUGUGUGAAUUUUUUGUGGUUGUUUGAAUUGAAACAGAAAUGACAUGGAACAAUUUAUUCAACUCAUGCUACAUAAUACAUGUUUUAGAUGUUAAAUUCGUUUUGGCCAAGGUGCUUGAAUUGCUUCCUCUUAAUAUGCAUAUAAAUUAUGUAUGCAUGUGAUAUAUUUUGCUAUCUAUGUUUCUUACUAUCUUAUGUUUCUUAUGAAGCUACAAUUGCUAUAUUAGAGCCUUAGGACCACUAUCAGUCUUCAAUAAAUGUAAGUUCUUUUUCAAUCUUCUACAUACAUAUUCGUAUUAUGAUAGCAAGGCAAAAAGUAUUGUUUGUGUAAUUAAUCUAGCUCUAACCUUAUUUCAUAAAAUAAAUACUCUUUGUGGAGUAACAUGUCAGUAGCCUUAGUAGUCCAGUGAACCUUAACUGAAUCAAGAUUAGAGACAGCUAACUCACCUCACCAACUAUGGUAUUCAGACAUAGAGAGAUAGAAAAGGGAGGCAUGUGGAUGGCAUAAAGGUUGUGAAAAGAGUGGUGUUUGGGAGCAUCAAUUUUUAUGAUUUAGUUUAUAGUAGCAUGCUAUAUAUAUAUUGUUUAGUUGGUGGCUAGGCUUGGAGUGGAGCCUUGCCGGCUCUGGCGACCAUAUGUGCUGAGAAGUGAGGUGAUGUUAUUUUGUUGAUGUUAUAUUAUGAUUUAAUUAUCUCUUAAGCAUGCUAAAUUGUGUUUGAAAUAUUUUAGUUCGUUAGUAGAUUACUUAAUAUGGCUAUCUAGAUGACUAACUAUUAUCAUGAUUCGUGAAUUAUUAAUUAGGAUUUAUAACAAUGAGUGCAAAUUGUGAAUGGAUGUAUAGGCAGCUUCUUUCCAACGGUGAAUUUAAUCCUGCUUUUUAGAGGGGAUUACCGAUUUCAUUAGAUUUGCAUUUAAUCCUACUUGAGUUAUUUAUAUUUCUGCAUAUCUAUGGCCAUUUUUCUUGUUCAUUCUUUAUAUGACUACUCUAAAAUGUAGUGCAUUUUGGCCUGCGUUUGUUGAAAUUUAACUGAGUUUGUUUCCGUUGUAGGAUUUUUAGUUAUUGGAUUUGUCUGAUAACAGAUGGUUGAAGUUUUACUUGGACUGGAAGUAGUAAUUAGAGAAUUCUAAAUUUGGUGAUUUAUUAGCCAACAUAUACAGAACGAUUUGGUUGACUAAUAUGUUAGAUUUUUGGAAUCAGCCUUGUCUAUUAGGUUCUUUUAAUUACUCUUUAAUAUCAUUGGAAAACAUUAGUUUUAAUGCUAAUAUAUAUAUGUGUUGCUUCAGGAGGUGGCUCAAAGAUGAACAGUUAACUUUGAUCCAAGAUUUUGAAAGGAAGGAGACAAAGUUCAUGAGACUAGGAAGGAACAAUAUAAUUGUAAAUGAUAAAUUUGCCAACGGUCCCACCAGACAUGAGACUGAGAAGGAACAUGAAUCGCUAUUUUGUUAUUUAACUAAGAGCAUCCGCAGCGGUGAGCAGCAUGCUCACCGCCGUCCUUGCCGCUGGCAAGGACGAAGCUCGUCCGUUGAUGCACGAGGUGGCGACGUGGCAGCUUCUGAUUGGCCCGUUGAUUUAUCAUUUAUUAUUAUUAUUUUUUUAA